rnacentral:rRNA from 1 species
UACAGAGGGUGCAAGCGUUAAUCGGAGUUACUGGGCGUAAAGGGCGCGUAGGUGGUGAUGUGAGUGUGAUGUGAAAGCCCCGGGCUUAACCUGGGAAGUGCAUCGCAAACGACAUUACUAGAGUAUAUGAGAGGGUGGCGGAAUUUCCGGUGUAGCGGUGAAAUGCGUAGAGAUCGGAAGGAACGUCGAUGGCGAAGGCAGCUGCCUGGCAUAAUACUGACACUGAGGCGCGAAAGCGUGGGGAGCGAACGAGG